AGUCAUUGGAGGGUUUGAGCAG
rnacentral:miRNA from 2 species